rnacentral:lncRNA from 1 species
AGAGGUGAGUGGAGGCGCAGCGACCUUGUCCGAUGUCGGUUGCUCUCGACAUCAGGUACUCUGUGCACAGGCCUCCAGCCUGAAAGGAGGGGUCUGCGCUGUCUCGGGUGUUCUCCUGACACUAGGAAGAGCAUCUACACUCUGUCCUCGGCUGCGAGACCCUUCGUGCCGAAGGAGACCCUGGCUUUAGAUGGGCAGGAGCUGUCCGUGUGUCAAAUCUAGGACACUGGCUCCAGCCGAGCGCCAGUUAACAGUUUCACCCUUGAGGGAAAAGCACCUGCUAAUGAAGUGGGUACAGUGUCAGCCUCAGUUUGAGGCCGAAAAGGAAGCUCCGGAAGAAGACGCUGGCAGCAGUACCCCGCUGGCUGCCCUGGACCCAAGGCAGAAUUUCCCUUGUGUCUGCAGUGUGAGGCAGAACGGUUUUGCCUGGAGCAAGUGAAACGAUUCCUCUCCUGCUGUUACUAGUAUCUCCCUGUGAUGCCAGACGGGAUCAGCACAGCCCCAGGAGCUAGUUGCUACUGCCUAUAAGAUACCCUCCCCCACCAAAGAGAAUCAUUUAAGGGUUUAGGAGUUGCUGUUGUGGCCCAGUGGGCUAAGAACCUGACAUAGUCUCUGUGAGGAUUCGAGUUUGAUCCCUGGCCUUGCUCAGUGGCUGGGCAUCCAGUGUUGCCCUCAUCUGUGGUGUAGGUUGUGGGUAAGGCUUGGGUCUGGCGUGGCUGUGGCUGUGGCGUGGGCUGGAGCCUCCAAUUCGACCCUUAGCCUGGGAGCUUCUGUGUGCCGUGGGUGCGACCCUAGACAGAACAUAAGAGUUACUUGAACUUCAUCUUUGGGAGUAGUCAGAGACAUUUUAUCUCGGAAGAUCUUGGGCAGUUAGUGAAAUUAGGUAGAACUAAGAACAUUCAGAACAACACGGUUUAGGUGUGUUGAGGUACAGCUCGCGGUGCUGGGACUGCAGCGGUGGUGAAGCGAAGGGAUUGUGAGAUCAACGUGUUGGGGGGGGGGGAGACUAAAGGGAAACAGGUGUUUAGCCGGAGAACGCGCUCCGUGGAUUUCCUAUCAAGUCAGUGGUCUUGGGUUUAACUUUGAAACAAAUAAAAAUUUU